UAAUACGAAGGGGGCGAGCGUUGUUCGGAUUUACUGGGCGUAAAGGGCGCGCAGGCGGCUAUCCAAGUCAGGCGUGAAAGCCCCGGGCUCAACCUGGGAACUGCGUUUGGGACUGGAUGGCUAGAGAUCGGGAGAGGAGAGUGGAAUUCCCAGUGUAGAGGUGAAAUUCGUAGAUAUUGGGAAGAACACCGGUGGCGAAGGCGGCUCUCUGGACCGAUACUGACGCUGAGGCGCGAAAGCGUGGGGAGCAAACAGGAUUAGAUACCCUGGUAGUCCACGCUGUAAACGAUGUGUGCUAGACGUUGGGGAGCCUAGCUCUUCGGUGUCGCAGCUAACGCGGUAAGCACACCGCCUGGGGAGUACGGCCGCAAGGUUA
rnacentral:rRNA from 1 species